GCGCGAGUGGCGGAAUCGGCAGACGCGCCGGAUUUAGGUUCCGGUGCCUACGGGCGUGGGGGUUCAAGUCCCCCCUCGCGCA
rnacentral:tRNA from 1 species